AUGGCACAGUUGUACGAGAUUAGAGAAAAGUGGGCGAAGCCGUACUUCAACGGGGUUUUCUGCGCCAAGAUGACGAGCAUUCAACAUAGCGAAAGUGCGAAUCACAUGGUGAAGACCUACAUGCCACCAGUGAGUCCAAUGCAUGUUUUUGUGAGGCAAUACAUGAGACCGCAGUUUGAUCAAGAGCGAGAGGAGAGCUAUGAGGACAAGAGGACAAUGACAGGUGGAGCAGUGAGGAGAACUAAUUUGACGAUAGAGCGGCAUGCAAGUAGGAUAUACACAGGAGCAAUGUUCGAAGAGUUUGGGGGCCUACUAAUCGAAGCUACUGCCUACUAUGUCACCGAAAUAGAGAAGAUGAGGAAAUAUCUUACAGUCCACAACAAUGCAGCCAAGGGAGAAAAAUGGAGCAGGGUUGAGUAUGAAGUGAACAUAAAUGAUGACCAAUUAGAGUUUACAUGUGAAUGUGGUCAGUUCGACCACACUAGGAUGUUGUGCAGCCAUGUUCAGAGG
rnacentral:rRNA from 1 species